ensembl:lncRNA
UGUUAUUCUGAUCCCUGUGAAGGACAAUUAUUUAGGCUUAUAUUUUCAGUUGGAGUUUCUAAGGCAGGCCUUCUCCAUUUUAUAACUCCAUGCUGCCUUUGUAUUAGUGUGAUUUACAGGUGUUUCCUUUUUUAUUUCUUCAGAAGCCAGUCACCACCAAGUGGACUCAUCUUCUUGGACUGUCAGCUCUCUCUAUAGAAAACAGAAAUUAAAAGCAUUUUACAAAAGAAAAGAGACAUAUUUUCUUUUUUUUUUUUUCUUAUCAUAAGGAACAAGUACAAGGUGCAGAAGGUAUUUCAGAUCUCUUUCUCAGGUUUUUUUACUAACACAAACAUAUCUACCCAUGUAUAAAUGCAUCUGGUCUGGCAGUCUUGAAAAUGUUUCCUGAGCUGUAUUUUUCCUCUCCUUCUCUAUAGACAAUGACAGCUUUAGUAGGAACAUAGAGCAUUUAUAUCACAACAAUGAGCAUUCUGAAAUACACUGAGCUGAGUGGGGGUGAAAGCUCCCCCACAAUUACUAAAAUGAAUCACAGGUAAAACAUCACAGGUAAAACAAUGUCAACAUUGGUUGUUGAUAUUGUUUUAUUCUCCUAAACCAUGAAUGCAGAAAAUACAUUAUCUACCCAUUGAAUUACUAUAGCAGAGCUGUCAAAUAAUCUCACUACUGCCUCUGUUUAAUAAAGCCUCAGAAAACAAAUCCCAAACCACAGUUCUCUGUCUUGAUUGAGAGAGUUCUGCAUAUUGUGACCUGUCACCUUUGCAGGCUGCAGUGUCUUCUUGCCUCAGAGCCCAAGUUUUGGCUCUCAGAAAAUAACCUGGUCCACUUAGUUCUCCAGGUGUAUUAAUGCUACUUACCCUUUGCAUUAAGAGGGCAAAUAAGGAAAAUGAAAACAAACUGAAAAUCUCAUUAUAAAAAAAAUUCAGUUUGCCAUCUGUAAAGAUUCUGUAUUGCUUCAUUAGGGAUUUUCUUACUUACCAGGAGACCAAUGGGAAAAGCAAAGCUUGGGGGGUUUUCCAUCUUUUCUGGUUUUAUUAAGAUAUUUAAACAAGCAGAAACAGAAUACCAACAGAAAAUGUCUUACAAUCCACUCCUAAGCAGUGGUUUGGAUGUCUCCAGAAGUCCUGUUCUCUCACCUUGAAAUUCUAAGUUUUCAGCCACAGAAAACCUUCAUCCAUACCUAAAUUAGGAAUAAGCAUAUUAAUACAAAUUUCUAGAACUUUUUCAAUCAAAAUUUCUUUGAUCAGUCCAGAGCUUUCAAUAUAAACUUAUUUCUACAAGUAUUUUAAGCAGUGUGUAAGAAGGUGGCCUUAGCUGGAUUCUAAGCCUGGACUAUGAGAGCGCCUCUUUAACACUGCGAGGAGUACCAGUGUGGUUCAUUCAGGUUGUGACAAGGCCACCACCAUCACAUAUGUUCAACCAGCCCAGCCAAGCACCAGCAUUCUUGCAUUAGAGAAUGCAGAGUGCCAGAUCCCUGUGCACAGUGGCUGGGACUGGUCUGCAGGACGAGUCCCUGCCUCCGUCCUGGCUAUAGCUACAGUUCAGACUGUCCUGAAAACCUUGUAGCUGCUUGCUGGCAACGUAGUGGGGCAGUGACUCGAGGGAAUGGACGUGACAUGGCACAUCACAACCUAGCAACCAGCAGCAGGAUUGCUGGAAAGGAAAUGCUGUGCUUGCCAACAGGACCCAUCUUCUCAGCUACCAAAUAGUCACACUGCAAAUCUUAAAUGUAUUUUGAGACAGUUUCAACCAGAGAAAUUUGAUGUGAUAGAUAAAAUUCACAGGGGCUGGCCUCUAGCAAAGCAGCAGUUACAAGAGAAAUCAUGCAGCCAUCUGGCUGGCUAAAUUUUGACAUAGCAUGUGGGAUUCUGGAAAAGUCCCAGAGCAUUAGAGAAACAUCAGACUAGGGGGAAAAAUCAGAUUCAGUUCUACACAUCUCCCAGUUGCCUCAUGGUCACUAAAGGCAAGAGUGUGCGGGCUUGUCACACAGACACUGAAACACUGCUCCAGUACAGGUCCCUGGGAGACUUCAGCAUCAGCAACAUGAAGAGUCUAAGAGACACCACCUGAUCCAUCUGAUAGAACAGGGAAAACAAGGUGUAAAUUGCAUUCAACUAUUGAUUUAGCUCCAUACAAAUUUCACUCUAGUUAUAGAAACCAAAACAAACAACACUACAAAUGUACACUAUGUACAUGCAGACUCAAACAAUUGCUGUUGAGAGCAAAUGGUGACUGAAGCAAAGGUAAGCCAAAUAACAAAAUAUCCUUUUGUAUCUGCACUGCCUACUAAGAUGUUAAACCUUCUUUCACUUGUUUCUAGCUCUCCCUCCAAGGAAAUUCGUGUUAGAAAACAAAUAGCCAGAUGAAAAAAUAGUUACUUGUAUCGAAGGAAAAGCUGAGCCAUUUGAACAAAGAAUGGAAGAAUAACAGGACGUGACUCCUGAUAAACAGCUGUGUAAGUCAGGAAAGACAGUUCAGUCUUGAAGAGCUCUCAAGAGCCUGUACUGGUAGCAGAAGUCAAUGAGGGACAGUGCUGAAAUUUCUAGAUUGCAUAUAGGGAACUGCAGUAGAAUGCUAAAUUCAAUGCAUGCCUAAUGGAAAACUUGGAUUAAUCAUCUGAAUAAAAAUAACACAGUUAAAAUGCUUGUUGUGAUACUGCUGUCUUCCUGAAAAUGUUAGUAUGACUUGUGUAUUUUAAUUACUACCUUAAAUACAUUUUUGCUUUACUUGCAAAUGCCUUUUCAUGUACAGAAUCAAAGUCAAUGGAAAAUAACAGCAAGUUAUUUUCCAUUGCCAAGUGUGCCCUCAAAGACAGGUGUCCAAUGUCACUAAGGACAAGCCAUGCCUGUAAAUUCAUCCACUUUUCCCUUUCCUCUGAUACUUCAUUUUACACAUUUCCACACACUGAAAGGCACCAAGGCUCCAUUGAGGCAGUAGAACAAUGCUCAGCACCUGGUAUCCAUCACAGCCUGGGAUUAAAUGUCCAGUAAGUGACAUGUAGUUGAUCCAUUUUACAAAACUUAUUCAUUCUCAAAUAUUACAUCUUGUGAAUGAUACAAAGUCUCCAUGCAGAUUAAAUUGCCAGUGUUCAGCUCAACCUUUGCCUUCUUUUUAGCAGAGUGAUUUUGUUCCAUAAGGCCCCUGGGAAAAAAAUGCCACUGUUAACUUUUUUCCUGAAUUUAAGUUUUUCCAUAGUGGAACAGCUUUUGCCUUAAUGGCCUUUGGGUUUUAGCUCAGUUAACAUAUGUAAAUAAAAUAUUUCAGACUUCUUAAUCAGCAUCUUCUCAUCUUUGUUUAGGCCUUGGUGUAUAAUUUGUUAUUUAUAUGAUAUCUAAGGAAAAAUAUAGCUUUGUAUGAAGUUAAAGGAAAUGUUUCAAAUGUCAAUUUAAGGCAUGUAUCAGAAAAUAUUUUUUGCUCCGUGCUUUCCUGUUAAAAUACUAUUUCACCAUUCAUAUGACCAUUCUGUACUCUAAGUUGUCUGCCCAAAGUCAACUGUGUUACAGAAUCAUAGGAAAGGUGAGCAGCAGGGACAGAGGGAGGUGGUCAUCCUUUAGCAGCCUCUUUCCCAAACUAAACAUGUGCCUUCCUUGAGGGCUUUGACUCCUCAUGGAAUAUGUGCUCCAAAUCCCCUGCCAGCACGAUAGUUUAGACUCUGUGCUUCUAGCUGAUUUCUUUCUCCCUUUUGUCUCUAUUUCUGCAAUGAUGUUACCAUGGACACCCUAUGGCUUCCUUCAGUUAAAAGACAUAACUUUUACAUUUUAAUUUACUCAAAACCAAAACUGCUUUACAAUAACUGAAGAAAAUAAAAAGGACAUAGCAUUCCUUUUUCCUCCAAAAAGGAGGAAAAUUGAGCAUAAGUCAUGUUUCACUUUAAAAAGGCUGGCCAUUUCCAGGUUCUGUCAUACUUGCAGUAAAACCAUUAAUCAUCAUAAACUCAUUUUGUCUAAAAGCAGAGGUAAUACAUUUUUCCAUGUAAAUCACUUCAUUGCCAUGACAGAAUGAUGUCAUAGAAUCAAAAUAGGUGAUAUUAUAAAUUAUCCUUUUGGAACAUUGUUUAGCACUAAAGGUUAUAGGAGGGGAGAGAGGGGACAAGAUUGAUGCCAGCUGCUAAAGAGUAAAAAUUGAUUUUUAUUUUCAUUAAAUAGACCUAAAUACUGUAUUGACACAGACUCACUUUUACAGACUAAGAAAAUAUACACACAGCUUAAAAAUGGUGCAGUAAGAACCCAAAGCCUUUCUAGAAUAAAAAUCAAUCUCCAGUUAAUAGUUUGUAAAAGAUGAUUAAAAUAAUAAUUAAUAUUGCAGAUUUUAAUUUCUUCCCUUUAUAAAGCACGAUUUUUGAAAGUCAGGGCUUCACAGUCACCAUUUGUAUAGGCACAUACAGUUGAACACAUAUGAACUGAAAUUACCUUAGCAUGUAGUUUGGCUGUGUGCAUAAGAAUACUCAAACAAGGAAGCAGUAGUACAGGAGAGAAAUAGAAUUUUAUUUCUCCCCCUCCAAAAGCAAGCAACCUUGUCUGAACUACAGCCUAUACCUUAACAAAAAUGGAACUAUUUUCUGAAAUCCUGCAGUAGCCUUGUAGAACAAAUAUAUAUGUAUGGCAUCAUGGAAAAGGGAAGGAUUGGGACCAAACCCACAAGUCAAAGCUAUUACUUCCCAUUUCUCUCUGCAAGAUUUCAAGUCAAAGUUUGGAAGAAAUUACUGAUUUUGGUUUGAUUCAAACCUUGGCUUUUUUCUAUUCAGUCUUUUUUAUUCCUUUGGAGAAAACAUGAAAACAAACUGGGGAAACAGCUGAAAAUCUGUUUCCCACAGGUUUAAUCCCUCCCCCUUGCUGCAGCCAUGGUAUGUGUAAUCACAGCCCUGCUGGGUGAGGCAGAGCAAUUCUCUUUCCACACAGCUGAUCUAAUCUGAGGUGUGCAACAGCCCACACAGAACAGCUGCAAUGAAAAAGCAAGUCCCUUUUAAAAACAUCCGUUUCCUAGACAUCCUUUUCCUAGAUAAAAUGGAAGGCUGGAUAGCCCCUCAGCAUUUAUCCAGACCUUAAAAUGGGUCCCACAGGGCUGAGGCUCUUUCAGCUUCCCAGUCAGCAACUUCAAAGCCAGGUUUUCAUACAUGAGACUUUUAACUUAGACACCCUGAAGAAACAAAUACCAUCAUGCAGAAUACCUACUCUGGGCAGAAGAGAAUUAACACUCAAAAGUAUGGAUUUGUUCCUAUUGAUGUUCAAAUUACAACACCUGACUCCAAAGGAGAAGCAGUUUUCUUGGACCAGUUUAUUUCUGUAAAAUGUAAAAUUUCUGUACAAUGUUAUGCACAAUGGUUAACACAAAUGUUUUAAUUACCCAUUUCAUCCUGAAGCACAGCACACAGUCCUGUGACAUGGCCUGACUUGACCUAGCAGGUCACUGCUGCAUGAAGAGGGGUGGUCUCCAGCACUGCAGAGCUGAGCUGCCAGCUGAGCUCUGGUGCUCAUCCAACACUGCCAUCACUGUGACAGUGACACCCUCAGCCUGACAAGAAGCUGCCUGAACACAGAGGCACCUGUCAGGAGCUGCAGCCUCCAAGAGAUGCACAGGGUAGUGUGGAUGAAAGCAAGGCAGGGGGGCAGGGUGUCAUUUUCAGAGGCAGUGACCUGUUUGGCCAGCUCAGCUGCUCAUGCAAUUAAAGCCUCAGCUCUUCUGCCUGGCCAAUUUUCAAACUUACCUCACAAACUUCAGUUUCCUCCUCUGUUGCGGGAAAAAAAAAAAAAAAAAAAAAAAA